rnacentral:lncRNA from 1 species
GACGGGCUUCCAGUCUUCACGCAGAAUGUUCAGGCAGACAUUUCCUUCUAGGUCAAUAUUGGGAUGGUAAACCUGAAAGUUACUGUAUUAGGAAUAGUCAACUUAUGAUGAUGAUUGAAAGGAGUCAAAGCUGUGGUGCUUACCUUAGUCUUGCACUUGACCUUUGGAGCCUCGUGAGGGUAUGAAGGAGAUACUUGGAAGGUGAAAGUGAAUGACCCACCUCUAAAAAAGAAAACAUUGUGGAUAUUAGAAUAACUGACUAAUAUUGCUCUGAUCAACUGAUUAAGAAUAAUACUGUAUAUCUCUAUGGUGAGGGUCAGGCCUUGGUUCAUCAGGGUAACCAGAUAACUACUAUACAAAGGUGGUCCAGUGUCCACGGUUUGAGGGGAAAGAUUUAGGAGAAAGAUGAGACAAACUGUAACAAAACAAGGACUUUAGAUGAGAGAAUGGAUUCCCUUAUUCUUGCUUCAUGAAAACCAUAAGACUAACCCUUCUUACAUGAGUUGCUAGAAAAAACAUAAAGACAUACUGCUUCUAAGGAAAUAAGGAAGAUAUGAACCAACACAAGGAAAUAUAUCUGAUAUGAGAACUAGUACGGUCUGCUGCUUGUAUGGCUCGAUUGGAGCUACAUGUAGACAUAAAUCAUCAACUAUAAAGGUGGCCAACAAAAGUAAGUUCUAUCUCCAUUAAGAAAACUGAAUUAGUAGUGAAAAGAUGAGAUAUAAUGGCCAGGGGAGCAGGAACAUGAAUGCUAUGGAACCGAUGAAAAAUAAAGAAUAAACAGUAGUAGUUAACAACUGCUCUUCAUGUUCCUAUUAAAGUACUAUAGAAUAAUCCUUCUUCAUGCUAUGUCGAGAUACUUGCAGGAGUGUGAUGUAAUUGUAAAAUAAAACUAACUUGAUUUCUCUCAUUAAUCCAUAUUCAUCAACAAAUAUUCCUUCAAGCACGUAACCAAAAUGCUGACUGAAAAUUGUCAACAGCCAUCUAAAACUUCCUAUCCCUCCAUCUAUGUGGCAAUUAGCAACAGCGCAUGUUUUUAAGUAUAGCUUAUAAAAGCUCAGUACAGAAUACUAUGACAAAAAGUUGAAAAGAAGAGUAGGCAAAAAAGAAGCAUAGAUAAAAUACUUACAGAUAGUAUCCUUCGUCAGGCCGUAGAGUAGCUUCAAAGUUCAUGAGAUCAUCCUUUCCAUUUGGGAAGGAAAUCUUAGUUGUCUUUGGAAGGUUAAGCUCAGCAAUAUCUGCGAAUUAGAACAGAAAAUUGUCAACAAGAUCCAUAUUUUUGAGAACUAUCCAAAUAGGAAGUUGUGAUAUAUAUCAUGAACAUAAAUCAGGAAGACAUGAACAGAUAGGUGGAUAUUAUGUUAUCACACAGGUUUGAACAAAGAAGAAUCACAUAAUGUUCAAUUUUUAAUACGGAAGUAUUUCUGUAGUGGAUCAUAUUUCUCAUAUCAAAUUGUAGUUAAAAUAGUGCAUUUGAGAUUUAAACCUGGAUAUAAGAUAUCUGGGCCUUACUAUAAAGAACUAGUAGUCUAUUACAUAGUAUUCAUGGCAACCAUGGGGCACUGGCAUGCCAGGUGACAAUUACGCGAUACCAAUCGCAUUCACAGCAGCAGAUAAUUGCUAUUCCAGUGUGCAAAGACCAAAAAGGAAAACAGGGGAUAGAUGUGCCACCCAGGCACCCAGUAAUAUCACUCAGCAUACUACCCCAACAAAGCUCAAGCCUGCACCCUCUCUCUUCUCAUACCUAUUGCCCAGUGCCACCACCCUUCAAUACCCUACUACUUGCUACUUUAGCCAUGUUGCCAGCUCAUCCUCUCCUCCACACCCUACCAUGCCCCAUCAUUCCCUCCCACCCUGCUAGGGUAGGACAGCUCCAUCAGAACUAAAUCCAAUGGAAAAGAGAACGUGGUGGUACAGAUCUGCACACACAUGCACCAUAAAUUAGCGUGUUUCACAAAUUCCCCAUGACCUCCAGGCUAGGCAAGAGGCCAAGGUGGCCCUCCACAGGACCAGGAUGGCUAGGUGGCACCUAUGUUGACUGGGCAUCAAUGUGGCAACUAACUAUGUUAUGCAAGUCAAACAAAAGGUAUAAUUUCCUAAUAAUAUAAAUGUUACAAAGUACUCCCUCCGUAAAGAAAUAUAAGACGUUUAGAUCACUACUUCAGUGAUCUAAACGCUCUUAUAUUUGUUUAGGAGGGAGUAGUUAAGUAAUCUAGUUAGGAGCAAAACUCCCUCCGGACUGGUAGUCACCUCACCACCAGCAGAUAAUUCUAGAUUCUAAGUCACCUACUCACUAAUCACGCCAAAUCCGAAGCAGUUUUCUCGCCCUCAGCGAUGCAUUAACUAGACAAUAUUAAUUUUCACCGCUGAUUGGGCAUUGGCAAGGGGUGACAUGCACUCCGGACCACUGCUUGCAGGAGGCCAAGGGUCGGCCCAUUAAACGGUGCAUGCAUGAGUUUCAUGCGCACACUGAUUGGCUUCUUUUACGGAGAUAAUUAAUUGCUCAGGAGAGUUAGCUACCAACCCUGGUGCUGGCUCUAUGGCCCUCCCGCCCUAUAUUCCCAUCCAGAGGGAGUGCUACUUUGUAAUGAGAAAUGGAAAACAAAGAAAUGACAUGCUUACAGAGAGAUGUGAAUGCACAUGGUUGCAAGAAAUGGAUUUCAGCAUAGCACUUAACAAUACACAAUGUAUAGCAUGCCAUCGUGGUGGAUUAAGAUAACCUCAUUUGGUUGACCCUUGGCUAGUGGUUUUCAUCUUAACUAUAAGGUGCUCUCUAGUAUACUUUUGUUAUAUAGAACACAUGGGGUGAAUUGUGAAAGACUCAGUGUGCAGCCAUCAAUAACUGUGAUUACCUCAUCUGAUUUAUCAAACAGAAGAAUAUAUGUUCAACAGAAGCUUUACAAAUGAGCACAAAAAGCGCAAGCUGAAUGAUAUAUCAACUGUCAACAUUAGAAAGUGAGACACCAACUGGCUGAAUGUCACACAAGAUCAAAUCAUUUCUGGUCAAACAAACCUUUAUGGAGACGUAAUUCCCCUGGACUUUGCUUCUUAACAGG